rnacentral:misc_RNA from 1 species
UUUCCGUAGGUGAACCUGCGGAAGGAUCAUUAAUGAGUUGUCAUGGGGUUCGAUGCUGGCAGCCAAUUUUUGGAUGCAUGUGCAUGCCCUAACAAUCAUCUUCCAAACACCUGUGCACAUUUUUGAGGGAGUCUUGAGUUGGUUGCCGCUCUUGGGUGAUUUUCUCACAUUCCCUUAAAUCAUUAUACGCUAUUAACAAUGUUGAACGUGCUCUGUGCCGCAAGGCUAUUAAUAUAAUACAACUUUUAACAACGGAUCUCUUGGCUCUC